GCUGCUAAUUCUAGCAGGCUCUGCAACCUCUGCCUGACCAGGCCCCUUUCUUCGGAGGGCACCCCCAAGGGAAGGAGACAGACUAGCUGUUCAGAGUGUGCUCAGAGCCAACGGCUCACCCCAGGCAGUAGAUGGAGCAAUGAACUGCUGAGCAUCGUGCUGGAAGCCUCAUCAAGUGUUAGCAGGGGCUGCAGAAGCACAAAAGAGUCAAGGCUUUGAAUGCUCCUGGCUCUGACAAUUGGUGUUGAAACUGUGUCCGUGCUGUUGGCCGAUGGAUGUGAUGCAGUUGGGAGAGAAGGGUCUAGAGGCCAGAACGACAGGGAAGAGAGGCUGUCAGUGCUAAUGAGAAAACUGGACUCCAGAGGAACCAUAGAAUGCUGUGGGAGUUCCUGCUGAGAAGAGUGGGGUUGCACCCCAGAAGGAAGGGCUAAGGUGGCUGUUCUGGCAGAGAGAUAGAGGAGGACUGAAGAAGAGUCUGGGUGUGGCGAAAGACAUCAGUGUCUGGUAUGCUGAAUGCUGCUUUGCUGCACUAAUUCUUAUUCCUGAUUUAGGCCUAAAUUCUCAUCCCUGUUACAUGGCUGUAGCACCCACUAGAACUUAGGUUGCAAGUUCAAGGGGUGAGACUAAGAGGGAACAGGUCAUAACUCAGAAGAUACCUGGGUGUCAUUAAAGGCUGAGAUAAUUCCUUCUAAGGAAGAGACCACAGGGAGAUGAGCAGCUCCUGUGAAGGAUCUGGCAUCAUCAUCAUCAGAGGACCAAACACCUCAAGAAGACCCAGUCUGAGGGGGUCAGUGCUCAAUACCAGAGCUGGGGAGAAGACUCCAGAGUAGCUCCAGAAAGAGGACUGGGAAAGGAGCCCAGGAGAUUGGCUGAUUGUUUGGAACUUUGGCGACAAGUUACCCCUUUUGUUACCUGGAAGGGAUCUAAAGUCUGUGCUUCUCAGCUGGAGGACUGGGCUGUCACAAAGGCAAAUGGCCUACAGGGGGCACUAGGGUGAGGACACCUGAAACAGGAAGCUCUGACAACAGGGGAUCUUGUUGUGGUGACUGUUAGACAUUUUCAGAAAUAUAAUGGAGUGCCUAUCUUGAGAAUUUUUCAUACAGUGUACAAACAAUAUUAAUUUGCCUGAAAAAACUACUAAAAUUUGAACUUGCUGCCAACCUAUUGUUAUUUCCACAGACUUUCUUUUCCCUGUACUGGACAUCUGACAUCCCCAAACCAUUUCACAACUAAUACUAUCUGCUCAGGACAGUCCUGUGACUAGCUACCAUAUGUAAAUUAUAUAUCCAAGCACUGAGGUGUACAAAAGAACUGGCUGAUAAAGCUUCCAUAGAAUUUGUCUGCACUGUGCAUAACUCAACACAAUUCUUUUAGCCCUUUACUUCCUCCAGCACCAAACUUAUAGCCAGUUAAAGAAAAACGGGCACUUUCAGACGGACCUAUCUUUUUGUGUCCAAUACAGUAUGGGUGAAAUUUAUUCCUGUACACCACUUAAGUUGUAUAGAAGCCUUCAGAUUGAGUCAUA